AUGGUAGAACGUUUUCGGGGAGAAGAAGUAAUCUACCAUAGCUUUGACAGUGCAGAGGACGAUCCAUAUGGCUACUAUGCUCCCGAGUUCCUUAAUGGAUUGACUCCCAACGGUCUGCCUCCGCAUGCACUCAAACUGAAGCUCAACUGCCCUGUCAUACUUCUGAGGAACAUUGAUCCGGCUAAUGGUCUGUGUAACGGGACGAGGCUUGUGGUGCGAGGUUUCGAGAGGAACGCCAUCGACGCAGAAAUCGUGAUUGGACAACACGCGGGUAGGAGGGUUUUGCUUCCUCGAAUACCCCUAUGCUCGUCCGACAACGACAAGUUUCCAUUCAAGUUCAAGAGUAAGCAAUUUCCUAUAAGGCUUAGCUUUGCUAUGACGAUUAACAAGGCUCAAGGACAGACGAUUCCGAUUGUUGACGUGUACCUACCUAAUCCGGUGUUCUCUCAUGGUCAACUCUAUGUCGCAUUGUGUCGAGCCACCGUGAAGAGAAACAUAAAGAUCCUCAUUGAAAAGGAGAAGAAGGAGAAUGGCAAGAAGCAAAGCAGUAAAUCAAAGAAGCGAAAAAGACUUGCCUUGUCCUUACAGACCUCGAUGAAGAACAUCGUCUAUAAGGAAGUCCUUACAGGCUGA
rnacentral:rRNA from 1 species